CACGCUCGUUCGAUCGCCAGGUCACGCCGGGCAAUUAUGAUGACCUUGCUUCUGUGCUUUACCUGAACCCUCCACUUGCAGGACUUUUUGUUUGUCUUGUUUUGGCGGAGAGGAACCUUUACAUUUCGCAGCAGAUUUUCCCUUAUGGAGAAUCUUUUGGUGGGAAUGUACACGGGGAGGAGACAAAUGAAUCCUUACAUUAAGCCAUGCAAUUAAUGUAAUCCAAGAUGAAGCUGUUUUUUCCAUGUCCCCUCUUUCACAAUAAGAGACCCUCCCCUCACACAUUCUCAAUAGCCUUUGAGGAGGUAUAAAAGCCUUGGCGGCUGCUGUCCACACAGGACCAGUUCAAGUGCAUUACUACAUUGUGUACUGUACACCGCCGGACCCUGUCUCUGACCUCCAGCCAUGCUGACCAGGAACAUUCUCAUCCUCUGCUCAUUGGCAUUGGUUCUGGUUAAAGCGGACCUUGAAGCAGCUGAAGGAGGGUCCCAAGCCAUGUUUGCUACAG